rnacentral:rRNA from 1 species
AGAGUUUGAUCCUGGCUCAGAACGAACGCUGGCGGCAUGCCUAACACAUGCAAGUCGAACGAGAAAGCUCUUCGGAGUGAGUAGAGUGGCGCACGGGUGAGUAACACGUAGGUGACCUGCCAUACAGUGGGGGAUAACCAGAAGAAAUUCUGGCUAAUACCGCAUACGAAGUACAAAUUUGAAAGUAGUACUUGAAAGGAUGCUUCGGCAUUCGCUGAAUGAUGGGCCUGCGUAGCAUUAGUUUGAUGGUGGGGUAACGGCCUACCAUGGCUACGAUGCUUAGCUGGUCUGAGAGGAUGAUCAGCCACACUGGAACUGAGACACGGUCCAGACUCCUACGGGAGGCAGCAGUGGGGAAUAUUGCGCAAUGGGGGAAACCCUAACACAGCAAUGCCGCGUGAGUGAGGAAGGCCUUCGGGUUGUAAAGCUCUGUCAGAUGGGAAUAAUGGUUUAGGGUCCAAUAGGCCUUAGAUUGAAGUACCAUCAAAGAAGCACCGCUAACUUC